rnacentral:lncRNA from 10 species
CGACUGAUGAUGGCUGGCAACCCCUAGGUAGCUUCAGGAUGGGGGCUGGUCACCGGAAAGACCAAGGCAGGAUUAGAGUUUGGGACUUUCAGUCCCACCCCCCGACCUCCGGGGAGGAGAGAGGGAUUGAAGGUUAAGUUGAUCUUCAAUGGCCAAUGAUUUAAUCAAUCAUGCCUGUGUAAUGAAGCCUUCAUAAAAACCUAAAAAAGGACGGGGUUUGGAGAGCUUCCUGUAAGCGAACCCGUGAAGGUUCCAGGAGGAUGGCGCACCCGGAAAGGGCGUGGAAGCUCCGCGCCCCUUCCCACAGACUUUCCCCCAUCCAUCUCUUCAUCUGGUGUUCAUCGAUAGCCUUUGUAAUGUCCUUAAUAGUAAACCGGAAAACAGUGGAGGAAGAAGAGAAUCACCACAUAUCGUAUUUAGAGGUCCUGCAGAAAGGGCAGAGCGAGUUUCAUGUUUGAGUGCAGCGGAUGCAUGGGCAAAGCAUUACACAGCCGCUCCAUGGAAGUGACAAUGAGCCUUGUCUUUCACACGUAACUCCAGGAACCAGGGGAAACAAAACCAAUUCCACCCAGAGGUACAGACAAAGAAGAGCACCCUCCCAAAGGAGCCCGCAUGAUAAGUGGCCACGGCGAACAUCACUGUGAUCAGUCAGAAAGGCAGGCGAGUUAUUAGCUUAGCCCUGAACCUCCUACUUAAUGUAGAACCAGUGGUGAUGGUUAACAGACCCUGGCUGCAGUGACAAGCCUGGGACCUGCUCGAGGAAAUCCAAUUGAAAAGCAGCCAAGAGGAACAACAAGCUAGAAACAGAUGUUCCAGCUACCAGGAUGUGCACGCAUUUAACCUGAACAUGUAGUUGGGGUGGGAUGGUAGCAUUCGUUUCUAAAUAUAGUGAUUUCACUUCUUCCCCCAUAUAGAUAUUGUCAAGUUUAAUUAUAGCCAUCCACAUUAGUUUUGUCAAAUUUUCAGCAAUUUCUUUAAAAUAAGAAGAUGUCAGAAUGAUAACUGCUAUUAAGGGAAUUCAGGGUGUUUGGUUUAUCUACCCAGUCUUACUAAAACAUUUCAGUUAAAUCAUCCACUCUUAAACUCCAGUCUCAUAGCAAUUAAAAAUUAUCUUUUAAAAAAUUGCCCAAAUGAAAUUCCAACAGUUCAUGUAAUUAUUUGAUUUAAUAUUACCAUGUUAGUAAAAUAUCUUUAAGAUAGUUAUAUUUUCAUGAGUCACUUUCUUAGUCACUUCUAGUUCCUAAAUAGGGGAGUUUGGGUUGACAGAGGUGUGAUAACCAUGCGAACAGGGGCUAGAAUAUAAGCUUAACAGAAUCAGUUAAUUAGAUUUGGAAGAGAGUUGAGUCUUGUGAACCACAGUGAUAUGUCAUGUACAUUAGGAAACAUUCUCCUUUACGUCAACACAAUUCUGGUUUUCUCUAAUGGGCUUUAUACGAGGAGAGAGACCAUCUCACUGUGUUGAUUUUUCUCAAGAAAAAAAUCAAUACUCUCAAUGGAUUUUAAGUAGAUCUAAUGUAGUACUGCACUAUGCUCAUAAGAAGAUAAGCAUAUGUAAAAGAUUUUAAAAUGUGAAUUAAUGCAUGCCACACUGAAACCAGAUCAUACCCCACACUCAUGUUGUUAUUAUGUGUACCUAAAGCAAAGAACAGCUGCAGAGUAUUUUCUCUGGUAACACUUCAUUUUUUAUUGGUAGGUUUUAAUCCGAUACAUUUUUGGGGUCACUGAAUUCUUAUUUGCUUUAGAAUGCCCGAUUAUAUCAUUCUGCAAAGGAUAAAAGGGCUUGAGCCAUCAUCCUGUGCUGAAAUUUAUUGAAGGUAUUUAUGAAGAGGGUGAUCUUGAGGAAUGCAAGCUUUUAAAAUCUAAGAACAGCAGCAAAAAUAAAUUAAUCAGGAAUCCAUCACUAAUUUAUACAUGAGUCACUUACGAGGAAGGUAAAACGGUUCAGUAAAUUAUGGAUUUACAAAUAAACUUGAUUCUAGGGCCUUGGAAAAUACUUCGAUUGGAAUAUAGAUCCAUUUUUCCUCAAAACAAUUUUCACUUCAACUUCAGAUGUAGGGGACAUAAAACCAAAUCCCCUCUCUGAAAAUUCAAGGGGAACUCUUUUCUGGUAACGUGAGGCAUGAGUGGUGAUGGUUCACAGGGAUUCAUCUGCUCUCCACAAACUCAGGGGUGGGACCCAUCUAUCGUUUUUCUAACUCAUUCCCAUGAAUUCUAAAUUGUCAA